rnacentral:rRNA from 1 species
AAUCAACGCUGGCGGCGUGCCUCAGACAUGCAAGUCGAACGCGAAAUCCCGAGCAAUCGGGAGAGUAGAGUGGCGCACGGGUGAGUAACACGUAGGUAAUCUACCUUCGGAUGGGGAAUAACAACCGGAAACGGUUGCUAAUACCGCAUAAUGCAGCGGCACCUAAUGGUGACAGUUGUUAAAGCGGGGGAUCGAAAGACCUCGCGUCUGAAGAGGAGCCUGCGGCGGAUUAGCUAGUUGGUAAGGUAAUGGCUUACCAAGGCAACGAUCCGUAACCGGCCUGAGAGGGCGGUCGGUCACACUGACACUGACAUACGGGUCAGACUCCUACGGGAGGCAGCAGUCGGGAAUUUUGGGCAAUGGGCGAAAGCCUGACCCAGCAA